CCCUUAGAUGUUCUGGGCUGCACGCGCGCUACACUGAAGCGUUCAACGAGUAUUUCACCUUGCCCGGGAGGGUUGGGUAAUCUUUUUAAAACGCUUCGUGAUGGGGAUAGAUUAUUGCAAUUAUUAAUCUUCAACGAGGAAUUCCUAGUAAGCGCGAGUCAUCAGCUCGUGCUGAUUACGUCCCUGCCCUUUGUACACACCGCCCGUCGCUCCUACCGAUUGAAUGGUCCGGUGAAAUCUCGGGACGGCGGCUUGGUCGCUUGCGUCCGACUGCUGAAACUUGAUUAAACCAUAUCAUUUAGAGGAAGGUGAAGUCGUAACA
rnacentral:rRNA from 1 species